rnacentral:rRNA from 1 species
GACCCCAGGUCAGGCGGGGCAACCCGCUGAGUUUAA